rnacentral:lncRNA from 10 species
GCGGAGGCUGGGCAGACUGGCUGGGCUGUUAUGCUGCAGGACAUAAUCCCAGAACAUUGCAAAAUGGGCACUUUCAUACGAUUUUAUAUCGCUAGAGCCUUGCAGUAGAAAUGAAUCAAACGAAACAGCAGGAACCUGAAAAUGUUGUUUGUUCAACUGAAAAGCAGCCUGGAAUUUACUCCCACAUAGUCUACUCACCUGAAAGCGCCGGCCCAUAAUCAUCGUGUUUACACUGCCUGUCUGUACUUACAUGAUACUGCAGCUCACAGCUCAGAACUGCUCACACCCCCAGUACUUCCAGCCCAGCAUCCAGGCCUUUUCAUCUCCCGUCAAUUAUCUCUACCUUAGUUUCAACAGCUUAGCAAGCUGAGUCCUUGAGACACAGAGUGGCUUUAUCAGAAUAACUCCAAGUGCGCAGAGGACGACAGAGAGACAAGAGGAAUGCUUCUCAGACUUACUGGUUUCCUCCAAGGAUUUGCUUGACUCUAAUUAUUGGAAGACCUCCAGGGGCCAAGACUGCCUGAGCUUGUCAAGGGAUUCCUCUUUCUACCAGAGGACACCACCACCCAGACACUAAAUCAGAUGAGAGCUAACAUUUUCACAGCAAUAAAUCUCUGGAACAAAAGAAUGAGUUGGAAAACCUUCAUUGCAUUCUUUUUUGGUGGAAAGAAAUUAUUUAUAAGAACUAAAUUAGAGGGGUUCUUGAAAGUUCCUGUUGAACACUUGCCAACACUUGGUAGUCUCGGUGUUUUCAUUUAACCAUUCUUGUGAGUAUACCUUUCAUUGUAGUCUUAACGUGCUUUUCUCUGUUUAAAGAUGGAAUUUAGCAAUGUUUACAUGUUUAAUAUCCAAAUGUAUAUCCUCUUUUAUAAGGUGCUUAUUUAUGUUUUUACCCA